GUAACACCGGCAGCCCGAGUGGUGAUCACUAUUAUUGGGUCUAAAGGGUCCGUAGCCGGUUUAAUCUGUCUUCUGGGAAAUCUAAUCGCGUAACUAUUAGGCUUCCAGGGGAUACUGUUAGACUUGGGACCGGGAGAGGUAAGAGGUACUGCAGGGGUAGGAGUGAAAUCUUGUAAUCCCUGUGAGACCACCAGUGGCGAAGGCGUCUUACCAGAACGGGUCCGACGGUGAGGGACGAAAGCUGGGGGCACGAACCGGAUUAGAUACCCGGGUAGUCCCAGCUGUAAACGAUGCUCGUUAGGUGUCAGGAACGGUGCGACUGUUUCUGGUGCCGAAGGGAAGCCGUGAAACGAGCCACCUGGGAAGUACGGCCGCAAGGCUGAAACUUAAAGGAAUUGGCGGGGGAGCACUACAACGGGUGGAGCCUGCGGUUUAAUUGGACUCAACGCCGGAAAACUCACCGGGGGCGACAGCAAUAUGUAGGUCAGGUUAAAGGUCUUACCUGAAUCGCUGAGAGGAGGUGCAUGGCCGUCGUCAGUUCGUACUGUGAAGCAUCCUGUUAAGUCAGGCAACGAGCAAGACCCGUGCCCACUGUUACCAGCAUAUCCUUUAUGGAUGAUGGGGACUCUGUGGGGACCGCUGCUGCUAAGGCAGAGGAAGGUGCGGGCUACGGUAGGUCAGUAUGCCCCGAAUCUCCCGGGCUACACGCGGGCUACAAUGGUUGGGACAAUGGGUAUCUACUCCGAAAGGAGUUGGCAAUCUCUUAAACCCAAUCGUAGUUCGAAUUGAGGGCUGUAACUCGCCCUCAUGAAGCUGGAAUCCGUAGUAAUCGCGUUUCAACAUAGCGCGGU
rnacentral:rRNA from 1 species